rnacentral:rRNA from 1 species
GACGAACGCUGGCGGCGUGCUUAACACAUGCAAGUCGAACGGAAAGGCCCUGCUUUUGUGGGGUGCUCGAGUGGCGAACGGGUGAGUAACACGUGAGUAACCUGCCCUUGACUUUGGGAUAACUUCAGGAAACUGGGGCUAAUACCGGAUAGGAGCUCCUGCUGCAUGGUGGGGGUUGGAAAGUUUCGGCGGUUGGGGAUGGACUCGCGGCUUAUCAGCUUGUUGGUGGGGUAGUGGCUUACCAAGGGUUUGACGGGUAGCCGGCCUGAGAGGGUGACCGGCCACAUUGGGACUGAGAUACGGCCCAGACUCCUACGGGAGGCAGAAGUGGGGAAUAUUGCACAAUGGGCGGAAGUCUGAUGCAGCAACGCCGCGUGCGGGAUGACGGCCUUCGGGUUGUAAACCGCUGUCGCCUGUGACGAAGCGUGAGUGACGGUAAUGGGUAAAGAAGCACCGGCUAACUACGUG